rnacentral:misc_RNA from 1 species
GAAAUGCGAUAAGUAGUGUGAAUUGCAGAAUUCAGUGAAUCAUCGAAUCUUUGAACGCACAUUGCGCCCCUUGGUAUUCCAUGGGGCAUGCCUGUUCGAGCGUCAUUUGUACCCUCAAGCUCUGCUUGGUGUUGGGUGUUUGUCCCGUCUCCGCGCGUGGACUCGCCCCAAAGUGAUUGGCAGCCGGCGUACUGGUCCCGGAGCGCAGCACAUGUCGCGCAAACGAGUGUCUUGGUACGGCGGCGUCCAUAAGCCCCUCUCUCACGCUCUUGACCUCGGAUCAGGUAGGGAUACCCGCUGAACUUAAGC